UUCAAUAUAUGUAUCAAUAUUAAUACGAUUCUAAAGUAAUUAAAUGUUUAAAAAAGUAUAUAUAAAUUAGCAAGAGCCUGUCUAUAAGUCGCUUUUCAUAAGGUGUUAUUAAAAUUCUCCUUGAACCUUUGGGAAGUUCCAAACCUUGAUUUGGCAAUAUUUCAAGAUCAUUAACUAAUGUACUGGUUCCAUUAUUGAAUAGCUCAAUGCUGUCGAAUAAAGACAUUGAAUUCAAAGAAUUAUCGGUUAGCAGACUUUAACAUCCCUCAAAAGUAGGUCAUUUUUACCGGUUACCGUUUAUAAUUUCAUCUAUAAAUUUUAGUGGAAUUAGCGCUCAAGUUACACACGAACGCAAUAUAACGAAAUUUUAACUAUUUAGUUUUUAGUGAACUUUAUUCAAUAACGUUUAUUGAUAUAUUUUAUGAGUAUGGAUUUAUUUCUAUCUAAUUAUGAUAACAAUCUAAAUAUUAGCAGCUCUGAAGAAACUAGCUCUGAUGAAAGUGAAAGUUUACCAGGUUGUUUAAUUAUAAAUCAAUUGAUAAACAUGACAUUUAUUAAAUGAUUAAAUCAGAUUAAAUCGGAUUAAAUGAUUUAAUCUGAUAAUUAAUAUUUAAAUAAUCAAAUUAAGUUAUGCAUUCUAUGUAUUUAUUUACAUUCAUUAUUGAUGAUUUUGAUGAAACAUCUGGAGAAAUUUCUGACUUACAUGAAAAUUUAUCAAACAUUCUUAAUGCCCUUUAUCAUGCAAGAAAAAAAGAAAAAGGUCUACCUGUUCGAACAGAAAAUAUGGAUGAUUAUGUACACAAUAAGAAAAUGAAAUUAAUUGAAAUACCUGGUAUUAAAAAAAAAAAAAAGGUUCAAAUCGGGUUGGAAAAAAAAAAGAUAUGUCACUCUCAUCAUGUAAUAUUAAGAUUAAUAGUGUUGCUCCAGAAGUAUCGAUACAAGAAUGUAUUAUUACUGAUGAUCAAAUAACAGGUGAAACAUCUUUUAAAACAAGUUCUAUGAUUAUUGAAAAUAUUUUGUCUGAUGAUGAUAACAAAAGCAAUAUUUUAAAUAUUUCUUUACUUAAAACUGAGGAUUUAGAAGACAUUUCAAAUAACAGAAUGUUAUCAGAUAGUGUUAUCCAUUACUUUCAAAAUUUAAUUAUAAAAAAUCAUCCAUCUGCAAAGAUCCAAUAUUAGGACAAAAACUUUUUUUCAAGCCCCAAGGUUCUCUGCCGUUUGUUCAAGUCAUUUAUAAUGGACAUCAUCACUGGCUAGCUAUUAGCACAUAUGGCUGCAAGUUUGGAGAAGUAUAUGUACUUGAUAGUAGUUUUCAUGGAUAUUUGUCAUUAGAUACACAGAUACAAAUAUGUUCUCUUUUAAAUUACAACAAAUCAGAAAUUAAAGUAAAUGUUUUACCAGUUCAGCAGCAAGAAGGAAAUGUAGAUUGUGGUUUGUUUUAACUAGCUUUUAUAGAGUUUAUUUUAUUGAACAAUAAAAAUCCAGCUGAUGAUAUUUGGUUCAACCAAAGGUUAUUUAGAAGUCAUGUUCUUGCAUGCAUAAAAGAUAACAUAAUGAGAUCCUUUCCACUGUCAUAUUCUGGAAGCUAUAGAUGCAAUCCAAAAGAAUUCAAAUUAAAGAUAUGCUGUUCUUGCAGGAUGAUUUGGACACCUUUAUAUGGGUCUUCAUAUGAAAAGCAAACAGUUCAAUGCUGCUCUUGUAAAAAUUGGUUUCAAUGUGAAUGCAAAAAAAUCAAUGCAAAAAACAAAGAUCUUUGGAAAUGUCAAGAGUGUUAAAAAAGAUAACAAAAUAACUAAAGACUUGCAAAGGACAGAAAUUUUUCCGACUUUGACAAUAUAAGCAAUGUAAUAUGGUUAUCAAUGCGACACUUCAAAAAACGGUUAUUUUCAUAGCCACAUAUAUUUAAAGAAAUUAUGUAUCUGAACAUUUAUUUAAUGGUGUGAAUGCUAAGAGAUCGUAGCAUUGUAUCUAAAGCAAGUUAAGUUUUUGUUGACAAUUUUUCAU
rnacentral:lncRNA from 1 species